rnacentral:rRNA from 1 species
ACGCUAGCUACAGGCUUAACACAUGCAAGUCGAGGGGCAUCAGGAAGAAAGCUUGCUUUCUUUGCUGGCGACCGGCGCACGGGUGAGUAACACGUAUCCAACCUGCCCUUUACUCGGGGAUAGCCUUUCGAAAGAAAGAUUAAUACCCGAUGGCAUAAUGAUUCCGCAUGGUUUCAUUAUUAAAGGAUUCCGGUAAAGGAUGGGGAUGCGUUCCAUUAGGUUGUUGGUGAGGUAACGGCUCACCAAGCCUUCGAUGGAUAGGGGUUCUGAGAGGAAGGUCCCCCACAUUGGAACUGAGACACGGUCCAAACUCCUACGGGAGGCAGCAGUGAGGAAUAUUGGUCAAUGGGCGCUAGCCUGAACCAGCCAAGUAGCGUGAAGGAUGAAGGCUCUAUGGGUCGUAAACUUCUUUUAUAUAAGAAUAAAGUGCAGUAUGUAUACUGUUUUGUAUGUAUUAUAUGAAUAAGGAUCGGCUAACUCCGUGCCAGCAGCCGCGGUAAUACGGAGGAUCCGAGCGUUAUCCGGAUUUAUUGGGUUUAAAGGGAGCGUAGGUGGACUGGUAAGUCAGUUGUGAAAGUUUGCGGCUCAACCGUAAAAUUGCAGUUGAUACUGUCAGUCUUGAGUACAGUAGAGGUGGGCGGAAUUCGUGGUGUAGCGGUGAAAUGCUUAGAUAUCACGAAGAACUCCGAUUGCGAAGGCAGCUCACUGGACUGCAACUGACACUGAUGCUCGAAAGUGUGGGUAUCAAACAGGAUUAGAUACCCUGGUAGUCCACACAGUAAACGGUGAAUACUCGCUGUUUGCGAUAUACAGUAAGCGGCCAAGCGAAAGCAUUAAGUAUUCCACCUGGGGAGUACGCCGGCAACGGUGAAACUCAAAGGAAUUGACGGGGGCCCGCACAAGCGGAGGAACAUGUGGUUUAAUUCGAUGAUACGCGAGGAACCUUACCCGGGCUUAAAUUGCAGUGGAAUGAUGUGGAAACAUGUCAGUGAGCAAUCACCGCUGUGAAGGUGCUGCAUGGUUGUCGUCAGCUCGUGCCGUGAGGUGUCGGCUUAAGUGCCAUAACGAGCGCAACCCUUAUCUUUAGUUACUAACAGGUUAUGCUGAGGACUCUAGAGAGACUGCCGUCGUAAGAUGUGAGGAAGGUGGGGAUGACGUCAAAUCAGCACGGCCCUUACGUCCGGGGCUACACACGUGUUACAAUGGGGGGUACAGAAGGCAGCUAGCGGGUGACCGUAUGCUAAUCCCAAAAGCCUCUCUCAGUUCGGAUCGAAGUCUGCAACCCGACUUCGUGAAGCUGGAUUCGCUAGUAAUCGCGCAUCAGCCACGGCGCGGUGAAUACGUUCCCGGGCCUUGUACACACCGCCCGUCAAGCCAUGGGAGCCGGGGGUACAUGAAGUACGUAACCGCAAGGAUCGUCCUAGGGUAAAACUGGAA